AAAAUUCUUCGUUUCUUUAAUUUUUCAGUCUGCGCAAAUCUUUCUGGUGGUCAGUAUGUAUCUGGAUAAAAACAGGAAAAAUUUCAAUCUGUAACAAGAACUAUCUAUCAGUAUAU
rnacentral:ribozyme from 1 species